UAAAAAUACUGCACAAGCACUUGUUUUAUUGUAGUAACGUAUGUAGAAAACACCCUCGUGUGUAGGUUUUCUCAUCAUGGACGUAUUCACAGAUGGAUCCAAAGCAGAUAAUCGAGUUCAGGCAGCGGCGGCAAGAAUUAUAGAAUUAUAGUCUCGGUGUGCUAAUCUCGGGACAGAAUUCGAUCCUCUCGGCUGAAGCUCGCACUCCACUGACGGAAAAUGGACACAAAUAAAAUCCUUUCAUUUCCACUGACUCAAAAUCCUGCCUUCAAACGCUUGAAAAUGUAAAGACCGACCAUCCCGUAAUUAUAAAGGUUUUAGCCAAAGCAGGCUGUUUACGGAAGAGAAACUUCAGUAUUUUCUUCUGCUGGGCUCCAGGCCACAUGGGUUUUUUUUCUGGUAACAAGAAAGCGGAUAUCACUGCUGAAGAAGCACUCAACCGGAAUAUUUCAGAGUGUCAAAUGAAUGUCAGACUGUCAGCCCUGUGAUAAACUAUAUGUUAUCUUCUGCUAAUAUAUUAUAUUAUGAAAUAAAUCCCAGUGUAAGAAAAACCGAGUUUUUACAAGGUCUUUUAGGUCAUAAAAGACAUGCCUAUGUAUAUUUAUUAAAAACUGAAAAACCGCCAUCAUGAUUACCUGCCAAACAAAAAAGACUAUGAAGCAUAUUUUAUUAGAUUUUAUUGUUUUUAAUGUAACUAGACAACGGUUUUAUUCAGAUGUGUGUUUAACUGAUUCCUUUAAAAACCGCAUCACCUUAAUGUAUAUUAGAAUUAUUUUGUCUAGAGAGGAUUUGAAAUAAACUAUACCUUGUGUUAUUUAUUCUGAGUACCCCAUUAAAAUAGCCUUGUUAAAAAGAGCGAAUUAAUUUAUUACAGCUCUCAAACAAUGGAAGUCAAACGAAUAAAUGUAAUUUAAUUAAUGACUAAAAGUGUAUUAUUUUAGUAUCUGUAUUAUUGAGGAGAGCAAAAUAUAUUAAAUUGGAAAGGUUUAACCAAAUAUAAGAAUGUAAUUAGUCGUGUGUAAUGUCGUAUUAAGCAUAUAUCCACAAGAUGACGCUGGCGCUCCAAGAUAAAACAUCUCUGUACAACAGCCGUAGUGCUGAUGAAUAUUCAACAAUAUAAAACCCUAAAGGUUCAAAUCAAACUACACAGCUGCUGUUUCUCCGUGGGACUUUAACACGCUUGCCACAAUAAAUGAACUGGCUGGACGUCUCCCGACGGCGCGCAGACAUUUCGCAUUUAAGGCAUAAAUGCGAACCCAGCAAUUAACUUUCUAGCUGCUUUGCCCCAAACCAAAGGCUCAAAAACAAGUAGGUGAGUGUGACACAUCCAUAAACGCAUGUGCUACCUAGAAUGCCAUUUUGGGGAGGGCCUGCGCGAGGACUGCGCGAGAGCUCCGCGCGCCGCUGCCGCCGCUGCCUUUCUCGUGGCACGCGACUGCGAGCAGAAUCCAGGUAAAUCCUUUAAGACGGCGACGGUGACAGUCAUGACUACGCUCCCGACGACUCAACUUCAAUACAUUUUGACGCAUCCGAGAGAAGAAUAAACUCGCACAUUUCCUCAGAAGAAACUUAUUCGCGGGCUUCGGCGAAGACUGCAUCUUUAUUCCAGUCCAGUGACAACAGUCGGAACCAGAAUUGGACCGUAAGAUCGACAAACUUUUCGACAGUCAAAACAGUGGACGUAAAUCAAAUAAGCUACAACUGGGUUGAUACGGCUCUCGAACAAUGGAAGUCGAGCAGAGGGUCAUUGCUGAUUUAUGUUAUUCGGCUCGAUGUUGAUGUGAUUUAUACCGAUAUGGAGAAAUGAAACAGGCCAAACUCCUUUCAAAGACGUGACUUCAUUCUGCUCCGAAUCCGACUGCUUUUUGUCAAGUCCGCCUAGUCAGCCUUGUGAACACUGAAUGAAGUUUUCUCAGAGUUUGUCAGGAGACCUCGGAGACAAAGAUGUGUUGUCAAAUAUCAGUUCGGGCUCGUUCAUUCUCCCAAAACUUUCUAGCAAGUCGUCCAGUUCUUCUGGACAUGGUUGUAUUACCCUGCGGGGCGUUCGUAGCUUAAGCUUGGCUUCGUGAUCACAGCAGAUUCUCUCCCUUGUUAUAAUGUCACAUGGAAAUCACACUGAGAAACUCAAUAAACGCUCUGUAUCGUCCUGCGUUGUGGCGAGGGGAAGGUAAUAGCCUGCCACAGAGGCUGCGAGAAAAAGUGACUCAGCUUGGAGAGGAUGCAUGAGGCUGUAAGCCUGUGGAAUCUCGAGCUGCUCUUUGAGAUCGCCUGCAGUCUCACACGUCUCAUUUGCACUUCUCUAUUAUCACAGCACGCUGGAAAUGGUGAGUUUCCCUCCGGCCAGGACGUCCCUGUGUGCAAAAAUAAGCCAGAGAGAAGAGGCAUGGCUAUUAAAUGCUAUGAAAGAUAUUAAAGCAGUAUUUCGGACACUUUACAUAUUGAAAUAUAUAUUAUAUGCUGUUUACAGUAUAAAUGAUCUUCUCUACUCUUCAAGGGUUUGGGCUCAAUACUUUUUAAAAAUGAACAAUAGGAAAACAAGGAAACAAUAGCUUGAUCAAAAGUGAUGAAGGCAUUUAUAAUUUUACAGAAGAUUUCCAUUUAAAAAUGUUGUUCUUUUCAACAUUCUAUUCAUCAAAGAAUCUUUGCACAAAAAUAUUAAGCAGAACAACUGUUUUAUCAUUGAUAAAUUAUAAACAGGUUCAACAUUUCUUGAGCUGCACAUGAGUAUAUUGAAAUUAUUUCAUCGUGUGACUCUAAAGACUGAAGGCUCCCCAAAAUUCAGCUUUGCAAUAACAGAAAUACAUUUUUAAAUAUUUAAAUAAAAAAUGUGAUUAGAUUUAGCAAUAUUGUUGUUUUACUGUAUUUUUGAUCAAAUAAAUACACUCUUGGAAGAAACAUCUAUUGAAACAUUCUACCGACCACAAACUUUUGACUUCAUGGCUUCAGUUAAUGUAAAAUGUUAAGCAUAUGCUGAUCAAUUAAUUACCUGCUUCCAAUAUUUGAUGAGAAGGAAAAAAACUAUAGAAAAUUCGAAAAAUUUGCAUCACUGAAGAAGGCAAGUAAAGCACUAAAAAGACAUUACUAAAAGUGUCUUUAAAUCACUGCAUAGCAUAGUAUAAGUUCACAGCAACUCAUCGGUUUAAAAUGUUUGUUUAUGUAAGCUGUGUCUCACUCCAUUAGCGCUGUGAGCAAAAGAAAAAUAAACAAUACUAAAUGCUAUUUAAAAAGAAAUAGUACAACUCUGACUGCUACAAGAGCACACAUAUUGGAAUAUAAUUGAGCAAACAGAACAAAAAUUUGACAUUUUGGAGAGAUAGUGGGGAGGGUAUCCCAGAGUUUUAGGGCAGUGAUGCUUUAGUUCCUAUACUAGAGGACAAUGGAAGCAUUAUGGGCUGCAGAGCUCAGGACAAAUUAACUAUUCACACAGUUUAAUGAGUAAGAGGGAGUUACAGUAAUCUAGGUACGGGGUCAUAAAAGCAUGCCUAAAAAUUUCUUUGAAACAUAAGUGAAGGACAAAUAAAGGUUUGAUGGUGCAGAUGAGAAAACGAAGAGGUGCACAGUAUGAGCUUUAAAUUAGAAUGACAAGUCAAAAAUCACACCCGGGUAUGUGAAGUCUCCACCUGAACGUCACAAAGAUGUAGUAUUUUGUUUGUGUCAUAGAUUCAUUUUAAAGACAUGGCAGCCGUCCACACGUUUGGAAUAAAGCUGAUGUGGUAUCACACAUUACUUCUGCGACUGCAGUACGUGAUAUUGAUCAAGCUCACAAGAGUAUGUCUUCAUAGAAAGCGAGGACAUGCUUGUGGUUUUGUGAUGCACCCAAACCCAGAUUUCACACACACACACACACACAUAUAUGAAUCACACUCUCACUUUUUUUUUUACAAACAAACAUGCAUAAUGAUGACGAGUGAAAACUUGUUGAGCGAUCCCAAAUGCUCAUGAAUAGCUUGUGCGUGUGUGAUUCAGCAGCUGUGUGUUGUUGAGGAGUGAAGAGGCAGUGGUCUGUGACUGGGUGGAGAAGAGUACUAGAAGGCGGUGAGAAAUGAAAGGUGACACAGGUCUGGUGACUCAGCACAGACACACCUCCUAAGCCACACUGACUCACAAUCACGAUCAGGAAUUUGUUUAUCUGGAAACCGUUAGAUAUUAACGCUUUGCAAUUUGUCCACGGCCAGAUUUCUUGCAUUAGUUCAGUUCUAUCAUGACAACUCAAGAUCGUAGCAUGCUGCUGAAAAUGACAAUGUUAAUGUAUUUGGUCUUGGUGGAAUAGAUCUCCUGUAGUGCUGCUUUUGCUGUUGUUGAAGGGGAUUGCUGCUGCUGCUGCUGCAAAGCAAGUACAGUAACUUGCUUUUGCCAAUACAUAUGUCGAUGGGAUGCUGUGAGUAUAUAAGACAUACUGCUUCUGCACAAGUAGCAUAUAUAACCUGUAGCAGAUCCAUAAAGGUGGAGACAAUCAGCAUGAACUUGAACCAAUCAGCUUGUGCCAACGCUGAAUAUCAUGUUUGUGUUGACAAUCCAUCAGCUUGCACCAUCUUGAGUUUCGUGACUGAACGUGGCAUUUAUUUGUUACUGCUAGUUACUGAUCAUUUUAUGUGGCGUUAUAUAGAGAGGAAGAGCCUCUCUCCAAUUCUGUUAUUAUCAUUAUUAUUAUUAUUAUGAUUAUAAUUAAAAAUAAAACCAUAAAAACAUUUUUUAUGUGCUGGACUAUAAAAUUAAAAAAAUGUGGUUAUUUUAUGUCAGCUGUAAUUGCCACAUAAAUUGUAUAAUUUUCAUUUAGCAGGAUUUUUUUUCAUUUGUAAGUAGUGUCU